GACGCGCAGCGGGCGGAGCCGAGCUCGGCGACGGAAUCACGCCUCGCGAGGCUGAGAUCCGGAAGUCGGAACCUAGCCGUACAGCGCAUGUCCUCCGUCCUGGUGGUUGUUCUACCCUCUCCUCUGUGAUCCCCGCCGGAAGUGUAGGAAAAAAGUGGACAUAUUUGGAAUUACCCAUUUUUAAGCUGGACUGAUACAUCAUGAUGAAGCACAGACACAAAAAUAAAAAGCCAGGUAAAGGUUCCAAAGGCUGUAAGAAGCCUAUAAAGCAAAAUGGAAAGAAAGCAACUUCAAAAGUGCCCUCCGCUCCCCAGUUUGUUCAUUGCAAUGAUCAUGCCAGCCGGGAGGCAGAAUUAAAGAAGAAGAGGGUUGAGGAGAUGAGGGAGAAGCAGCAGGCUGCCCGGGAGCAAGAGAGACACAGACGCAGGACCAUUGAGAGCUACUGUCAGGAUGUCCUGAGACGCCAGGAGGAGUUUGAACGCAAGGAGGAGGUUUUGCAGGAAUUAAAUAUGUUUCCUCAGCUGGAUGAUGAGGCUACAAGGAAGGCUUAUUACAAGGAGUUCCGUAAGGUAGUACAAUACUCUGAUGUGAUUCUGGAAGUCCUGGAUGCCAGAGACCCAUUGGGGUGUCGGUGUUUCCAAAUGGAGGAGGCUGUUUUGCGGGCAGAGGGCAACAAGAAGCUGGUCCUGGUCUUGAACAAGAUUGACUUGGUUCCUAAGGAGAUUGUGGAGAAGUGGUUGGAUUACCUUCGUAAUGAGCUGCCAACUGUGGCUUUUAAGGCCAGCACUCAACAUCAGGUCAAAAACCUGAAUCGGUGUAAUGUGCCAGUGGAUCAAGCCCCUGAAUCGCUGCUAAAAAGCAAAGCUUGCUUUGGAGCUGAAAAUCUCAUGAGGGUUCUGGGAAACUAUUGCCGCCUGGGUGAAGUACGCACCCACAUCCGUGUGGGUGUCGUGGGCCUUCCCAAUGUUGGGAAGAGCAGCCUGAUCAAUAGCCUGAAGCGCAGCCGUGCAUGCAGUGUGGGAGCCGUUCCUGGGGUUACCAAAUUCAUGCAGGAGGUCUACCUAGACAAGUUCAUCAGGCUGCUGGAUGCUCCAGGCAUUGUCCCAGGACCCAACUCCGAGGUGGGCACUAUUUUGCGUAACUGCAUCCAUGUGCAGAAGCUGGCAGAUCCUGUGACCCCAGUGGAGACCAUUUUACAGCACUGCAACCUGGAAGAGAUUUCCAACUACUAUGGAGUUUCUGGGUUCCAGACCACUGAGCACUUUCUGACUGCAGUGGCCCACCGCUUGGGAAAGAAGAAGAAGGGAGGCUUAUACAGUCAGGAGCAGGCUGCUAAAGCUGUCCUAGCUGACUGGGUGAGUGGAAAGAUCAGCUUCUAUACACCACCACCACCCACCCACACUCUACCAGCCCACUUGAGUGCUGAGAUUGUUAAGGAAAUGACUGAGGUCUUUGACAUUGAAGAUACUGAGCAGGCCAAUGAAGACACCAUGGAAUGCUUGGCCACCGGAGAAUCAGAUGAGCUGUUGGGCGACACAGACCCUCUCGAAAUGGAGAUUAAGUGGCUUCAUUCUCCGAUGGUGAAAAUAGCAGAUGCCAUUGAAAAUAAAACCACCGUAUAUAAGAUUGGAGACCUCACUGGGUAUUGCACCAAUCCAAACCGUCAUCAGAUGGGGUGGGCUAAACGCAAUGUGGACUACCCCCUUCCCAAGAACAACAGUGUGGUGGAUGUUAGCCCAGUCGACCGCCGUCCGAUGCUGCAGAGGAUCAUGGAGACAGAUCCCUUGCAACAGGGUCAGGCUUUGGCAUCAGCCUUGAAAAAUAAGAAGAAGAUGCAGAAGCGUACAGAUAAAAUCGCCAGCAAGCUGUCUGAUUCCAUGAUGUCUGUUUUCGACCUCUCGGGCAACGGUGAUGACAGUGCUGGUGACUGAUCAGUUGAUCCCACUCCCCUCCCCCUCCAAGCACUGGUUCCUAUAGGAUGGGGGAGUACAAAUGGAGUUUGGUUCUCUCGGAAGUACCUAUAUAUAUAAAAAAACUUCCCAUGCUGUGUGUCCCCUCCCCAUACUGUUCCCUCCAUUCUCUCUAGAGAGGUUGGAGUUGCCAAAUCCAGUGAACUUUACUUAAUCCCUGCUGUGUUUUAUAAGAGAAAAUAUCAGCAGAGCCCAGGUGCUAACAAUUUAUCCCUCACUCUUAAUCCUAGGAUCCCACCCCGUAGGUUGAGCUGAUAUUAAGGAUGACCUCCCACAAGCCCUCUUAGACGGCUGAAUGUACAAAUAAAGGCUAGACUGUUAGUAGACCUAGAGCCCCUGCAGGGAAGAUGAUUUGUUUACCAUUCAAUGAGAGGUAUCACCACCAAGGUAUCCCUAUAAUGGGCUUCUGGCCAUGCAUCUUUCUUCCAAGUUCAUAGGUCCUCACUUGGGUGGCAGUGGGGACAGGGGAAUAGUGAUGAGCCUUUUUAUAUCUGUGCAAGGGUCUGGAGAUAGGAUAAAGGGAAGAAGAAAACAAAUAAGCCUGGCUGGUGUUAAAGUGUGUUAGAGACUAUAUUGUAGGAGGAGAAAACAAGGUACCUGUUGGUAGGGCAGCUGGGUGCUUUAGGGACAAGUCCCAUCUUGGCAUAUGUGAGAAUUGGAGAAAUUCCAUUAACUGAAGUGCUCUGGCUGAUCCCUGCCCUUGUGUGACCUUAUCCAGCAUCAGCAUUUGAAUUCCAUAAUUCUGGAGAGUUCUGAUACCAGUUAUUCAGAGUGUGUCCUUGAGAGAGUUGCUGUAUUUGGGACUGCACCAGCUAUCUUCUUUCCCAGUGGCUGGAACCUACCCAUUAAAAUAUAAUUAACUAUCACCUCUUGGAGGGCCUACCCUACUCAGACAAGGGCAUCAGGCCCAAGCACUACUAGGGGCCUGGCUUAGUCAGCUUGCUGUCACUAUUGUAAAAUACUUGAGAUAUCAGUUUAUAAGGAGAAAAGGCUUAUUUUGACUUAAAGUUUUAAAAGUUCCAGUCCAUGAUUGAUUGGCUCUAUUGCUUUGGCUUUCUGGUGAGAUAGCAUAGAUAAGCUGGUACAUGUGGUGACCAAAACCUUUCAUCUUAUGGCCAGGAAGCAAAAAAAGGAAAAAAAAAAAAAUAGUGGGAGUGCCUGAAGUCCCACAAUCCCUUUCAAUAUCCCAAUGAUUUAAGGAUCUCCCACCAGGCCCCACCUCCUAAAAGUUUUACUUUACCCUGAGAUCAAGUCUUUUAACAUAUGGGCCUUUGGGAUACAUUCAGGAUCCAAGUUAUAACAAGCUCUUGUAAAGGGACUGGGAUAGAAGAUUACAACUGAAACAAUCUCAUUUUACUAGGAAUUUUUGUUUCUUGUACAAAAUUUCAGUUCCUAGCCAUUUAUCCAGAGUUGAUAUAUUUGUAAGGAGUGGGCAUUACAUUACUUCAGUCUUUGCUACCUACACUAAACUUCCAUACCAUCCUUUGACCAUGAAUAUAUACCCUUUAGUCUUGCUCUUGCCUCUGCCUCUCAGGCUGGCACCCAAAGUUUACCUAACCAGAUCCUAAGAAUGGAAUCAGGUGACACAGGAGAAAGCUUCUGACUAUAGGCUCUUCUGUCUGGAAAGUGCGGACUUCUACUGUAUUCAGGCACAGCCAAAGGAAGGAGUUAGUUACUAAUUGUGCACAAACUGCAACAAGCUCUACCUCCUUAAUUCUCAGUAUGGCUAUACUGGUAUGGGAUUAAUAUCAUAAGAAAAAUAAAUAGGCUCAGAAAAAAUAAAUAAAUAAAUAAAUAAAUAGGCUCAGAAAGUUGACAGGUUAUGCCCAAGACAACAUUAACUGGUAGCACCAAGUGUGAUUAAAACCCUAUGCAGGCCCUUUCCUCUGCAUUAUACUGCCUUCUUAACAAAAGUACAUUAAUUAAGCACCUACUGUGUGCCAGUCUCUGUUA
rnacentral:lncRNA from 1 species